rnacentral:rRNA from 1 species
AGGACGAACGCUGGCGGCGUGCUUAACACAUGCAAGUCGAGCGGAAAGGCCACUUCGGUGGUACUCGAGCGGCGAACGGGUGAGUAACACGUGAGUAAUCUGCCCUCCACUUUGGGAUAGCCACCGGAAACGGUGAUUAAUACCGGAUAUGACCUUGGCCCGCAUGGGUUGUGGUGGAAAGUUUUUCGGUGGGGGAUGUGCUCGCGGCCUAUCAGCUUGAUGGUGGGGUAAUGGCCUACCAUGGCUUCGACGGGUAGCCGGCCUGAGAGGGUGACCGGCCACACUGGGACUGAGACACGGCCCCAGUACUCCGUACGGGAGGCCAGCCAGUGGGGGAAUAUUGGAACAACGUGGGGCGGAAGCCUGAUCCAGCCAACGCCGCGGUGAGGGACGUGACGGCCGUUCGGUGUUAACCGUACUUCGUA